CUAGUCGCGGCGGCUGGCUGCACUCGUCCCGCCGUCCCUCCUGUCGCGGCGGCUGGCUGCACCAGUACCGCCGUCCGGCCGUCCCUCCUGUCGCGCCUCCCGGCCUCCCCAACACCGCUAGUCCCCUCGCAGUCCUCUCCGUGGUGAGCUUGCAGCCGGCGAGGUGAGAGACGAGGUUCCCAACCCACGGCUGACGAGCUGGUGCUUAAAUCACGGCCUCCCAACACUGCUAGUGCCCUCGCAGUCCACUCCGUAGUGAGCUUCCAGCCGGCGAGGCGAGAGACGACACGCCGGACGCCGCAGUGAGGUUGAAGUUUUUCCACAUUCCCGACCCACGGCCGGCAAGGUGCUUAAAUCACGUCUAAAGGCGUACUAGCAAGGAGUAUCUAAUACAGUCCAUGGAAAAUAUGAAGGGGAGCGUGGUGUACACGGUUGCUGUUUUCUUCAUCGGGGGUCUAAUUAUCGUUGGACAAUGUCGUCCUGAGCCAGAGAACAUCUAUGAUGAGGGCAAACUGACAUUGAAAUGGUGUCUUCAAAAGGAUUGCAAGACCAAAGGUGACCCAUGGACCUGGAAAAGGGAGUGCAUCUGCUGCGUCACUCUUCCUGAUGUACCUUGUUAUCAUUCCCAAAAUGAGUGCCAAAAGAACUGCCCAAUAAGUUGAGCUGUCAGUUUAACUCUGAGCAAAACUAAAUAAAAGCCGACCGGUAAAGGCUAGGAGAAGAUAACUUCGUGUUGAAUGGCGAAGUAUCUUGUGUAAACCAACAACCAGUGAAAAAUCUGGAACUUACAAUGUGGGGCGCCGGAUCGUUGUCUCACGGCAGUGGUGGACUGCUAUCGCUGGCGUAAAGGCACAACGCCCAGGUGCGGUGAUAGAUGAGGCCUGGCGCUGGUGCCGGGGUGGACGCCACCGAGACCGAGGCAGGCGGCGCCGGUACAGCCUGCGGAAUGGGCUGUUGGCGGCUGGGCGUUUCUAUAUUGCUGAGCUUCUUCCAUGCAUUGCUGAGCUCCAUUUGUUGUUUCUUGGAUGGAAAGUUUGAACAGAAUUUAGUGUGUGUGUGUGGUAUGUUCCUAUACUUACCUUUUAGUGGCAGCCUCAUAACGUAAUCGAACAAUAUUAUGUGAUUC